rnacentral:lncRNA from 1 species
CAGCAAACAAAGUUCUUUCAAAAAAUCAUUCAACAUGUGCAUCUCUCUUUGAGACCGGGGCUGCCCAAUGGCCUCGUCGCUGUUCCUUACCAUAUUAAAAUCAACAACUAUACAAAACGGAAGAGUCCACCACGAGCGCACAUCUCUAAGCUCACCUAAACACUGAUGCUUCUCCGCAAAGCUGCACUUUGAGUACACGUUAAUCAACAUCCACAUAGUCGUAUUUCGCUUGCUCUGUAGAAUGGAGAACACACACAAAAGACCCACCCAGCUAUCUUCUAACUCGAACACAUCCUUAUCCUAAAUUGAAAUGAUACCGCAUGAGGCCUCGAUCGACACCUUAAAUUCCCACUCAUAAUUACCUCUGCCAAGCAAACUUUUAGCAAUGCCAGAAUUACAUUCCUCGAUCUUUGAUUCUUGAAGACAAACAAUAUUAGGU